rnacentral:lncRNA from 1 species
AUCAGGGGAUGCUUCCUCUUCACAUCAAUUCCUAUUACUUCGACUAAAACAAACCCUUAGACCAGACUGUUAUGGUAACCUCGGCAGCCUCGGCUCCCCCAAAGAGCCCUGAACCAGUCGCAAAGUUUCCCCUUCAGCCCGUCACCUUUCAUUGUUUCCAGGAGUCGGCGCCGAGGAGCUGGACCCUGUGCGCCCUGGGAUGGGGACCGCGGAAGUUCCCACCGAUGCGGCCGGCGGGGCCCAGCCUUGGUCCCCAGCUCCGGGGAGAGGGCACGCGGCUGUGGGCAGCGCGCCGGUGGAGGAGGGGGGGCGCAGGAGGACCCCAGGAGCGCAGAGGGGGUCGCCAGGGAGGACCACGGCGCUGGGGGAAGGUAGGCCAAAGUGCCGCGGGAGAGUCGGGGGGACGCCAGAAAAGCCGUGGAAAAGGAGCACUGGGGAUUCCCGGGGUGGGAGGCGGGCCAUGGAAAGGAAUCAGAGCCGCCCCCGCCGGAGCCCGAACAAUGCGGGGAGCCCACCCCGGCAGACACCCGGCUCUGCGCUAGAACCAUCCUCGAAACACAGAGCCCCUCACUUAUUCCCGGGAGGCCCACCACAACAGACAGCGCGUGUCUCUAGACCUGUCAGUCCUCCCAAGGGUCGGCACGGCUUUCACGGGGCGUCUCGGACGCCCCCCGCGCGUUUUCUCCCAGGGCCAAUUCCCUGUCCCGAGUCCUCCCUCCGUCCCGCGGGGAGGGGUCCUUAGGGCGUUCUACCAACAACGACUGCCAGUUGAUCCGAGUUUCAAGUUUAAUUUCACUCUCGCUGGGAAAGCCUGGAGGCAGAGGGAAGCUCCGCGCGUUUCAGGGCCUCCCACAGAAACGCAGCCGAAGGAACCCCGCUGGCCUUGAGGCUACCCCCCAGGAACGCCCCGCAGCGGGCCGGGUCUGAAAGAAUGUGGAGUUCCAAACUCCAGGCGGCUCCCGGGCAUGCGCAGUAGCGCCGCCCCUCCCGUCCGCUUCCCGAGUGAUUAACUUCUGUUUUGAACCACUCCACAUAAAUCACGACAGAAACGCCACCUCCAGCCCACAGCGGAACACUCGGGGGACCUCCCAGCCAGGGACUCAAUUUUUGUUAACUUCAAAAGGGACUUCACACUCUGACCUUUCGGGGUGUUUUGUGUGGUUUCUCCACCCCCCGUCCCCCUCCGGUGUAUUUUGUUUUUAAACCAAACUGACGGCAAGUUUUAGUUGUAAAGCUUCCAGAACACUUCGUGGAAACAAUGACAGCCUUGCUCUUUGCACUUACAACCAAGCCUGCUUGUCACAUUUGGACGCAUUUUGACUGCAUGCCGCUUGAAGCUGCUGGCCCUGGGUGCUAACUCUUCCUCCUGCCCCAAAAUUCAUCGUGGGAAAACUUUUAGAGACUGGGGAUUUGUAAAAGUCUAGCUUUCCAAAGCUGUUUACACCCGAGGGCGAUGAGGGGGUCCAGAAUCGCAUUCCUUCGAUCGUAAAAACACCACAUCCCUAAAGAACAGUGCUAGGGCCCGGCUGGGAGUAGGGGGGCGGCGGGGGCGGGGGCGGGGGGAGCCUAGGAGUGGAACUUUCAGACAAAGCCGCGGCGGUCCCGCGGCCCCGGCCGCCUGGGUCCGGAUCGGGAAAAACGAGGGGCUGGGUCCUC